GUAUUGUAUUGUAGAAAUUAAUCGAUUUAGUAUUCGUUUGAGAACUAAAGUCUAGAGUCAUACAUAUAUAUUUUAUUUACAUUUUAGAUGAUGGUAAUCAAUAAUUAUCUCAUUUAGUGGAUAUACAUAUAUUCGUUUAAAUAUUAAUUUUCAUCAACAAGCUAUUUAAUACUAAUUUGAAAGCAAAGGCUACAGCCCUGUCCAUGAAAGCCCAAUGAAAUAAAAGUUAACGUUCUGAUCAUUUUCAGACCUUUUACGUAAAAUUUCUCAUGCGACGGAAACAGGUUGUUGCUAAUGUCAGAGCGAAAACCAAAAACGGUGAAACGUGAGGUAAAUGACUAAUUUAUAUGGCCGAGACACGUAUGUACAUCCAUGUGUAUGUAUGUACAAUUUAUUAUGUAUAAAUGUUCCUGCAACAUAAACACAAAGAUAACAAUAGAGUUGAAGUUCAGCUGCAAUUGCAGCUGCUAAAUUUCAUCAAGGGAUGGAAGUACCGCAUGGACACAAAGGCGAAAAUUCUGGAAUACUAUAAACCACAAACACACAUACAAAUACGCAUAAGCAUAUGCAUGUAUCUACAUGUAUAUGUAUUGUGAACCACGCCGUUGCCAGACUGAUAAGUUCGCACCUUGUACUGUACGCAUGAACGAGACGGCAAUAGUAUACAAGCACGAGCGCGCUAAAUUUUCAUAUAUACGUUUGGACAUGUUUUAUUCCAACAACGCACACAAAGACGUCAAUAGCUGAAUGCUGUUAUGACUCAUAAUGAGUAGGAAGGCGAAUGGAAAAUUUGUAUGUGUGUGUGAUGCGGCAAUUUUUUCAAUGGAAUAUUCCAGCAAUUUUAGAUAAAUCAGCCAAUUUCGAGCAAUCAUUAAAUAUUGAUGUAUACAUAAUUUGCAAUGUAAGCAGCAAGGUUCUAAUUAUUGGAAGUCCCAAAUACAGCAGAAAAAUCGAAUGACGCAAUAUAUGCAUACAGAUGCAUGUAAAUACGCGAAUAUAUUACAUGCCAAAGUAUUUUUGCUCGCAUUUUAAACUUCAGCCACACGCAGCCAUCAUUUUUUAUACAGUUCAAUGGCAAAGCUGUAUUUAAAAUAACCCCAAAACUACUUGCAUCAAUGCACCUAACAUCCAAUUAUUGAUUUUAGUUGUAAAGCACAUGGAAGACAAUGGAAAUUUUUUCAGGUCAAACACACGCGGCAAUGAGCACGUGCCGAAUUUAGAGUGCACUUUAAUACAUGAAUGCAUGUGAAAAUUGUUAAAUUCUAAUUAAAGACUUACCUUUAUGUUUUGUUCAGUUGAAAUGUAUUAAAUAUAUGAAUAACCGUGUAAUUGCUACUUCACUUUGUCCCACUUAAAUUUCUUUCUGCCGAAC